rnacentral:rRNA from 1 species
UACGUAGGGCGCGAGCGUUGUCCGGAUUUAUUGGGCGUAAAGAGCUCGUAGGCGGCUCAGUAAGUCGGGUGUGAAACCUCCAGGCUCAACCUGGAGACGCCACCCGAUACUGCUGUGGCUUGAGUCCGGUAGGGGAGCGUGGAAUUCCUGGUGUAGCGGUGAAAUGCGCAGAUAUCAGGAGGAACACCAGCGGCGAAGGCGGCGCUCUGGGCCGGAACUGACGCUGAGGAGCGAAAGCGUGGGUAGCAAACAGG